ACGACGUAUAUGUGUAUACACUUGGUGUGACGUCAUCGAAAAGUUGCCACGUACUGCUUUUAUCUGGCAUCGUGAUCGUCAAUCGUCCCUUUUUUGUUUGUCUUUGUCCACCCGCCGCCCGCCAAUACAAGUAUCAGACGAAUUGUGUUAUUGGACGAGUAGAACGCAGCUGACCAGAUCUUACAUAAUUUCUUCGUGUACAGCGGUGAGUUAAUUACUACAACUUGAACAUCAUGUACCCUGCAGCAUGUGCAUCUACACUGGAAUUCAUUCAUAGAUGUCUCAUCAGCCUCAGCCCAGAUGAUACUUCUUCAGCUCCAACCCAGAAGGAUAGCUCAUAACUCUUGUGCUCCAAUAUAAAGAUAGCAAAAUCAUUCAUAUGUUGUAUCUACAUAAAAGUGUUUAUUGUUGCAGGUGUUUUGUCCGCAUUAACUCUGACAGGUGUAGCAAAGUGGAGAUUAAGAAGAAUUCCAAGAGGUAUUCUCAAAUUCAUCCCAAAGUUCUGAGUUUGAUUAAUGGCCUUGCUGAUGUGGAUUGGAGGAGUUAAGGCCACAAAAGUGUGGUUGUAUGGUUUUGAAGGUUUUGUUUAAUAUUUUGGUUGUGAUUAUUAUUUCAGUUAUGAAAUUUAAAGGAAUAUUUUGAAAGCUGUUCUUAGAAAUUUUUGUCUCAUGGAAGUUACUCUUUUUAAUUUCAUGUGUUGACGAGAUUAAUUUCUUUUCAAAAUCUUCAUAAGGAAGUAUUAGAAGUUUCUCAGCCGUUGAUGUCAUGGAGGCUUAGCGUUUCAAAACGUCAUAUUUUUGCACAUUGGGGCAGAGAGGAAGCACAACCGCAGCUCUAAGCGGGCCACCCUCGGCUGCAUAGCUGAGAGCGGCAUGAACGUUUUGUACUUCAUAUAUAAACAUGAAGUGGAGCCAUAGUUGCAAUGCAGUCUUUUGAAGUAAAUUAGAA